rnacentral:rRNA from 1 species
CCUACGGGAGGCUGCAGUGGGGAAUAUUGCACAAUGGGCGCAAGCCGGAUGCAGCCAUGCCGCGGGUGUGAAGAAGGCCUUCGGGUUGUAAAGCACUUUCAGCGGGGAGGAAGGCGUUAAGGUUAAUAACCUUGGCGAUUGACGUUACCCGCAGAAGAAGCACCGGCUAACUCCGUGCCAGCAGCCGCGGUAAUACGGAGGGUGCAAGCGUUAAUCGGAAUUACUGGGCGUAAAGCGCACGCAGGCGGUCUGUCAAGUCGGAUGUGAAAUCCCCGGGCUCAACCUGGGAACUGCAUUCGAAACUGGCAGGCUAGAGUCUUGUAGAGGGGGGUAGAAUUCCAGGUGUAGCGGUGAAAUGCGUAGAGAUCUGGAGGAAUACCGGUGGCGAAGGCGGCCCCCUGGACAAAGACUGACGCUCAGGUGCGAAAGCGUGGGGAGCAAACAGGAUUAGAUACCCUAGUAGUC